rnacentral:lncRNA from 1 species
AAAAUAAAGAAACACAGAAAGAAAAGACCAGGAGUAGAGAAGGCAAGACGCACAGGAGGGGUCACCAGCCUCGGGGUGAGGAUGAAGACUUCCCCAGGGGCUCAAAACCCAACGCCUCUGGCUGCGCUAACAACCAGAAGCCUUCUAAGUCCCUCCACCAUGCAUCCCAUUACCACAGGCUGAGAGAAGAGCGGCUUCUCAGGGAGAGCAAGCGGAGCAAGCCAAAGAAAAGGAAGAGUACAGAGGACGGCAGCCAUGAUGAUUUGUUUCUUAUUAAGCAAAAGAAGAAGAAGCCUAAGCCGAGUGGUCUCUGACCUGGUCUCCGCGCUUCAGUGUCCUGGAAGUGCUUAAGUACCUGUUAAUGAGACGCUGGGAUUGAAUGCUGAGUUCCGGCCAUGCCUGGAGUGGCUGUACAGAGACCACAAAGAGUUCAGGUCUGUGUCCACAGGCUGUUCCUAGGUAGGAAGGCAAACUUGAGGUAGAAAAUUGUCUUUUCAUGAAAACCUUUUUAAAUGCUUUGGAAAAAUUACAAGCUCAUCAGAUGAUUUUAUCUCCAAUGUUUGAGGACUUAAAAGCUCAUUGGAAGAAAGUUUAUUGUUAAGAAAAGUCAUCACUUUUUUAGCUUUUUUUUUAAGAACACUGGAAAAAUCAAUGAAAAUCCAAGCCCGGCUUUGCUUGCAUCAGAGGCUGUUGGAAUCUCUCUCUGUACAGAACAGCAUGUAAAAUGAAGCUGUCACCAUUGAAUUCUGGAGGAGGUGGAGGAGAGGACAUAGCAAAUACACAAACAAAAUGUGCGCAGUGUGGGCUUGCAGGACGGAGGUGUGAAAGGCAUCCUCAAACUUGAGUGCAAUGGCAGGGACAUUUUGUUCGCACUGUUAACAGCCAUAGUUCAAGAGACAGGGAUACAUACCAUCAACCUAACUUGUCCUCGUGGAUCCUUUUAAACACUUCAACGCUCUUUAGAAUCUUUUGUACUUGUGAGCCUUUUUUACCCUUGUGAAAGCCUAAUGUUAGAAUAAGAAAAAUAAAAUGCCUGAAACCAUGUG